rnacentral:sRNA from 1 species
AAAUUAAGUUUUAGUUACUUAUUGUGAAAUGUAAAUCAACUUGAAACCUAGUCUGAUAACAUAAUCAACAAUGUUUUAGUUACUUAUUGUGAAAUGUAAAUACAAUAAUAGGAUAUUUUGGAUUUGUCUGCGUUCCUGUUUUAGUUACUUAUUAUGAAAUGUAAAUUUGGUUCCUUUGGAAAACAACAAUAGAGUGUAGUAUUGUUUUAUUCAAUCAUUCAGAAUUGGUAAAUGCAGAAGCAGCAAAAUAACCAAAAGUAAUGACUUUCGUUUUAAUUUCUUAAGAUGAAAUAUAAAUGAAAACCUGUUAUACAUAGGAUUAUCUAUUUCCGUUAUAAUUAUUCCUUGCAA